rnacentral:misc_RNA from 1 species
GAUGAAGAACGCAGCGAAAUGCGAUAAGUAAUGUGAAUUGCAGAAUUCAGUGAAUCAUCGAAUCUUUGAACGCACAUUGCGCCCGGCAGUACUCUGCCGGGCAUGCCUGUUCGAGCGUCAUUUCAACCCUCAAGCCCUGCUCGGUGUUGGGGUCCCACGGCCGCCGUGGGCCCUGAAAGGAAGUGGCGGGCUCGCUACAACUCCGAGCGUAGUAAUUCAUUAUCUCGCUUAGGGCGUUGGGCGGCGCUCCUGCCGUUAAAGAACCAUCUUUAACUCAAGGUUGACCUCGGAUCAGGUAGGAAUACCCGCUGAACUUAAGCAUAUCAAUAAGCGGAGGA